rnacentral:lncRNA from 1 species
GUGAACCCAAAACUAUUUAUACAAAAGAUACCUCUGAUAACCUGGAAGUCAUAUGUACAGAACUACUAAAAGAGUACAAGUCCCAAAAGUGGACCAUGGAAACAAGACUGCCUCAAAAAGCAAAAGGCAAGUCAAAAUGUAAAUACGAAAUUGAGACGAGAAAUUCCAGAAAGCCAUGUGCUCAUCCUCGUCCCCAGAACAGACUGUUGCAGGCUCAACCUCAACACUUAUAGGUGGUGCUCGGACCUGCAUCAUGAAAACAGAUGCACAGUGUAGCAUGAGUACCAAAGCAACAAGUACCUAAUAUGCAUCAUAGGCCGACUGAGCAAGAAAGGUGAAAACUGACGAAAAAGGUCGAAUCAAACACGAACAAAGGUCAACAGAAAUAAGAGCAGAACAAUCAGAAAGCUAGUCUAAGGAUAUUUAACCUAAACACAACUAGCCCCUCCCCAUAAGACCUACUAGGUACACUCAAGCACAAACAAACAAGAACCCGAACAGAUUCCCAUAAUACCGAUAGUUACACAGAGAAGCCACAACUAUGAAACCCAAAGAAAGCCCAAUUACGAAUCGACACAACCAACAACUCCAACCCAGUCAACAAGUCUCACUUCCAUAUCAGGUCACCCAUCCCGCCAGCAACUCUGGGGCAUUACCCAUCCAGGCAAGUGUCGCGCAGGGGUAUAUUAAUCCCCUCAGAAAUCCCUAAUCCAACUGCCCAAUAGGCUAACACUCUGGGGGAUCUGCCCAAGCCAGCCAAGUAUACCGUCUAACACUCCCGGGGGCUCUGCCCUAGCCAGAAAGAGUGUGCGGGCCUGUUAACUUUGAAGAGCACCUGAAGUAAGUUAUAUCCAACUACCCAACCAAUUAAUCACCUUGAGGGCCCUGCCCAAUGCCAACUAGGUAAGUCAAUUAUAACUCCCAGGGGCAUGCCCAAUGCAAGCCAUAGUGUGCGGGUAAAUUAAACUCCGUAGAGGAUCUCAAAUUCCAAGCUAUCCUGGAUCGACGUCAACUACAAACCACAUCAAAAAUGGGUGAAUCAGCUCCAAGCCAUCGUGAAUCGACAUCCACUACCAAGUACCUCACACCAGAAUCGAUCACGUAACACCCAAACUAGGAAAAUACUACGCCUCUGAUAACACAUCGGUAUCAUAGAAAUAAGGAGAGAAGCCAAAAAGAUCAUAAGCAAUAAAAAUCCCAAAGCUAGGCUCAAUUAUCAGACCUAAGUCUGCUAUGCCAGUCUAAAAGGACCUAGUCCAUCCGAAUUAAUGUCGGAUACAUACAAAAGUCAACCAGGUGGAUGGGUCUAAGGUAACACUAAUCUAUCCUAGACUAAGGACAAAGAUAAAUUCCAAAAUAAAUAAACAGCCAACUAGAUACUACGCAUGCAUCGACAAAUAAACAACCCAACAGGUAAUUCACAAAUCCCCCAGAUAAACAACCCCUCAGACAACAUGGUACUAACCCUGAAACGGCCUAAAAAAUCAACCCUACAACAUGGUUUCUGAGAAGAAGAGAAGAAAUACUAGCAGCACACCCCAGAUUCACACAAUUCGACAUGCAAUUACAAAAGACUACUCAAGAAUUUAUUCUCUAUGGGAUUGCAUCGGACCUAUUUUGAAAGAAUUGUAAGACUUGGUAAAAUUUCUGAAGUCAAGUUAAGCACAUUACCACAUAAAAGAUAGUAGUUUUGAAAUCUUACAAAUUCCUUGAACCAUGUAGAGAAAUUUGCUUCAAGGCUCUUAUCUAUUUGACCUUGAGAUAGAUUCGGAAAUUCUUUUUGCAAACGUUGCAUGAACAUACUUCAUCAUAGUAAAAUAAGUUUAAUUUGAUAGUCCUGAAUAAAGAUAUGUUUAUAUCAUUAAGAAAAUACCACUAACUUUUGUUACCUCACAAAUGGCUCAACCUCCUCACAAUUUAGUAAGAUAUAAGUUUGGGCAGCCUUGAUUUCUUCAAGGGAUAAAUCCCUUUUUUUUGCUUCUCUCCAUACUCGACCUGGAUGGGAGAAUAUUGAUAAAUUUCCUUCAAGAUCUUCCACAACACCACCAUCAUCAUUACGUUCCACAUUAUGAUUACGUGUCAUGACAUGAGGUUCAAAAUAAUGAGAAAACAAUUGUGUUGACUCUGUCAUCAAGCACACUUCACAAAUGGAACCCUCUACACUAGCUUUAUUCCCAAUCAUCCUUUUAAAAGUUCCCAAAUACCUAAAUAGAGAAAAUGGAUGGACUAUUACAUUAGAAAAGGAAUGUAUGGCAAACUAGUCAUAAGUGACAUAAAGUUUCACAUUUACCUUUCAAAAGGAUACAUCCAUCGAUAUUGCAUUGGUCCAGCUAUCCUUGCUUCAUAUGGAAUGUGCAAAGGAAGAUGUUCCAUUGAGUCAAAGAACCCAGGAGGAAAUAUACGUUCUAGCUUGCAUAAGAUUUGUGGAAUAUCUCUCUCCAAUCUCUCCAUGUCAUCCACUCGUAGAGUGGUGGAAGUAAGAUCUUUAAAAAAUAAGCUCAAUUCUGUAAGUGCCUGCCACACAUUACUAGGAAGUAGUUCACGAAAAGCAAUAGGCAUUAGUCGUUGCAUGAACACAUGACAAUUGUGACUUUUCAAAACAAAUAUCAUUUUCGCAUUUGUGUCUGGACAUCUACCCAAAUUGGAAACAUACCCAUCUGGAAACCUUAAGCCUUUCACCCAAUUGAACAAGAUAGCUCGUGCUUCCUUGUCUAUUGUAUAUAUUGCUUUGGGAUAUUUUCCACUACUGUCUUUUGCCAAUUGAGGUCGAUCACAGUAUUCUACCAUAUCUUGACGUGAUUGUGGAUUGUCUUUGGUUUUGUCAUCAAAAUUAAGAACUGUGUUAAACACAUUAUCAAAGACAUUUUUUCUCAAUAUGCAUGACAUCAAGAUUAUGUCGAAUCAUGUUAGAACUCCAAUAAGGCAAAUCCCAAAAGAUUGCUUUUCUUUUUCCAUCCACAAGACUUGCAUAAUCUUCUAUUAACUUCGUUUGCAUCUAACUCUGUUACUUUUCUUAUGCCCAAGUCACAAAUUUGGUUCAAUAAUUCUUCUCCUGUUCUAUAGGGUGGUGAUGAUCUUUGGACAGUCUUGCCUUUACGAAAGUUUUUACGAUCUCUCCUAAAUGGGUGAUUUUGGUCUAGAAACAUCCUAUGGCAAUCAAACCAUGAUGUUUUUCUACCAUGUUUCAAUCUAAAGGAUUGUGUUUCCUCCAUACAAUAGGGACAUGCUAAAUUACCAACAGUACUCCAUCCGGAUAACAUAGAAUAUGCUGGAAAGUCACUGAUUGUCCACAUUAAAGUUGCCCUUAGUUGAAAGUUUUGCUUUUUGAGAUGUCAAAUGCUUCCACACCUGUCUCCCACCACAAAGUCAGUUCUUUUAUCAGAGGCUGCAGAUAAACAUCAAUUUUAUGUUUGGGAUUGGUUGGCCCUGGAACAAUAACUAUUAAGAACAUAUAAGCCUCUUUCAUACACAUCCCUGGAGGUAAAUUGUAAGGAGUGACAAUCAUUGGCCAUGAAGAGUAUUUACUCCUAGAUUGACUAAAUGGUUGGAAACCAUCAGUACAUAACCCCAAUCUUACAUUUCUUGGUUCCACAACAAAAAAAUUAUGAGUUUCAUUGAAGUGCUUCCAAGCCUCAGAGUGUGAUGGAUGACGCAUUACGCCAUCCUCUUUUGUAUGCUCAUGAUGCCAUCUCAUGUCAGCAGCAGUAGCAGGGGAUGCAUAUAAUCUUUGCAAUCUAGGAAUCAAAGGAAAAUAAUACAUUUUCUUAUAAGGGACCAAUUUCCUUUUACGAGAGCCGACAUGACGCUUGUAUCUCUCAUGGCCACAGAAUGUACAACAUGUAAGGUGUUCAUCAUCACCCCAAUAUAACAUACAUCCUGAUCCACAACAAUCAAUUUUUUCAACUGGCAAACCCAAGCUACGCACUAGCUUCUUGGUCUGAUAAUAACUAUCAAGAAAAAUGUUAGCUUCAGGUAAAGCCUAUUUCAACAAUUGCAUCAUUUGAUUAUAACCUCUCUGUGACAUAUUGUUCUCCAUUUUAAUAUUUAACAUCCGAGAGACAAGCGCAAGUUGAGAGAGAGAAGAACCGGGAUACAAUUUUUGAGUAGCUGCUUGUAGCAAAUCAUAUAAUUUUUGAAAGUCGGAAUUAGGAUCUUCCUCCAUCAAAGGUUCACAAAGAUGAGUUGGCUGAGGUUCAAUAAUGCUAGAACAUUGCCAACUUGAACCUUGGGAAAAGUUGGGACACGAAACAUCUAAAACCAUUUGUCAGUAUGGAUUACAUAUGUUAAUUCAGGUUGAGCACUACCAUGAAAAUCUUGACCUGAAGAAAUCUCAUUGAUCACAUCUUUUUCCCCUUGAUGCUUCCAAACAAAAUAGUUAUCAACAAAUCCAGUCUUAUAAAGGUGAUGUUUAACGAUUUCAACAUCUAUGAAUCUAAAGUUGUGACAUUUUUUACAUGGACAUCUAACUUUGUCACCACUCAAGCGAUCCUGUUGUGUACAUGCAAACUAGAUAAAUUUAUCCACAUCGGUUAUAAAACUAAAGUUUAUAGCCCCACGACCAUCCAACCUCUCAUACAUCCAACCACACUCUAGAUUAUUCAUGUUCCUGUCAAUUCUUAAACAAACAAAACUUCUACUAAAAAAGCACUAGUUGAUUGACCAAAAGGUACUCUAAUUCAUAUUCAUUAAAUUUAGUUAAAAUAUAGAGAUCGGACUAACAAAAACCGUUUCUCGAAUUAGAAUGAAAUAGAUUCAUUCAGUAACUUUCACAAUAAUUGGAAUUUGAUCUCCUGUGCCUGUGAAUUAAAGAGAUGGGGAGCUGAAACUGAAAUUUCUCACUAGGAAAGCUGAAAAAAAGCUUACCUAAAAAAAAUAAUUCUUUACUGAAGAAUUCUAAUUCCAGUCAACUUAUAGAAUAAUAAAGCAUUCUAAGUCCAGCCAGCUUACUUUAGAGUAUAAACUAUACUUUCUUUUAUAAAUAAGGAACUAGUAGUACAGGCAUACAAAAAACAAAACACAAAACACAUAUAAAGAAACUAAAUUUUCUUAAGCACAUUGGACACAAUGACAACAAGCAUCUUCCUAAUUACAUUCAGUAAAGUAUAUACCUCGAUAGUUAAAUUUUGAGCUAAAUCAGGGGUAAAAAUAAAGAGUAAGGCUUACUUCCAGUGAAUAUCAACCAGAUCCUCUGAUUAGGGUAGAACAGUAGUGCC